AACCAGCUCUUCAAGUGGUCGGGAUGAUUAUUGGGCUUAAAGUGUCCGUAGCCGGUUUAGUAAGUUCCUGGUAAAAUCAGGUAGCUUAACUAUCUGUAUGCUAGGAAUACUACUAUACUAGAGGGCGGGAGAGGUCUGAGGUACUACAGGGGUAGGGGUGAAAUCUUAUAAUCCUUGUAGGACCACCAGUGGCGAAGGCGUCAGACUGGAACGUGCCUGACGGUGAGGGACGAAAGCCAGGGGGAGCGAACCGGAUUAGAUACCCGGGUAGUCCUGGCCGUAAACGAUGCAUACUAGGUGAUGGCCCAGCCAUGAGCCGUGUCAGUGCCGUAGGGAAACCGUUAAGUGUGCCGCCUGGGAAGUACGGUCGCAAGGCUAAAACUUAAAGGAAUUGGCGGGGGAGCACCACAAGGGGUGAAGCCUGCGGUUC
rnacentral:rRNA from 1 species